AUUUAGAUGCUAUUGGAGUUGUCCAGGACAUGGGAUAUUGUCAGCUUACAGAAGGAACCGGCAAAAAACUACAAGUCAACUUUACAAUGAAAGAUUUAAGGUAUAUAUUCUAACUAAUUUCGGAUUUCAAUAUUCAUUUUUACCUCUCAAUUUCGGAUUUAAGGUAUAUAUUCUAACUUAUUGUCAGCUUCAAUAUUCAUUGUUAUUCAACCAUCUAUGCUUACAGUGACAUCUCAAUUAACUGCACUUUGUGGGAGGAGUAUGCUGGUAGGUUUAUCAAGUUUAACACUGACAGAAAAGAUAGUGGCCCACUGAUUGUUAUGCUUGCUUACUGCAAAAUCAAAGAAGAAGCUUACCUAAAUACGAACAAGUUCAGUCUCAAAGCCAGCUGACCUGUACGCAGUCACUUUCUGGUACACAAUAUACUUCUGAGGAAGAUCUACUAUCUAAUAACACAAGUUCAGUCUCCAUGGCCUUUCAAAUUGUGUCGAAGACAAUUCCCAAUUGUUGUUUCAUACUCAAUGACAAUCAACAAAUCACAAGGUCAAAGUCUUGAUUGGGUUGGUUUAUAUUUACCAAAAGAUGUUUUUAAUCAUGGCCAAAUUUAUGUUGCACUUUCUAGAGUAACAAGCAAGAAAGGUAUAAAAAUCCUGGUACAUGAUGAAAACAAGGUGGCAAAACUAACAACAACAAAUGUUGUUUUUAAAGAAGUUUUCCAGAAUGUUUGACAGGUGUGAUGAUCUAGCUCUUUCAGCAUGUAAUGAAAUUCAUCCCUUUUUGAAGUGCAUC